rnacentral:rRNA from 1 species
GUAGCUUGGCGCAGCUUAGCAUGCGGUCGAACGAUGAACCUCCUUCGGGAGGGGAUUAGUGGCGAACGGGUGAGUAACACGUGGGCAAUCUGCCCUGCACUCUGGGACAAGCCCUGGAAACGGGGUCUAAUACCGGAUACUGACCCGCUUGGGCAUCCAAGCGGUUCAAAAGCUCCGGCGGUGCAAGAUGAGCCCGCGGCCUAUCAUCUUGUUGGUGAGGUAAUGGCUCACCAGGGCGACGACGGGUAGCCGGCCUGAGAGGGCGACCGGCCACACUGGGACUGAGACACGGCCCAGACUCCUACGGGAGGCAGCAGUGGGGAAUAUUGCACAGUGGGCGAAAGCCUGAUGCAGCGACGCCGCGUGAGGGAUGACGGCCUUCGGGUUGUAAACCUCUUUCAGCAGGGAAGAAGCGAAAGUGACGGUACCUGCAGAAGAAGCGCCGGCUAACUACGUGCCAGCAGCCGCGGUAAUACGUAGGGCGCGAGCGUUGUCCGGAAUUAUUGGGCGUAAAGAGCUCGUACGCGGCUUGUCACGUCGGUUGUGAAAGCCCGGGGCUUAACCCCGGGUCUGCAGUCGAUACGGGCAGGCUAGAGUUCGGUAGGGGAGAUCGGAAUUCCUGGUGUAGCGGUGAAAUGCGCAUAUAUCAGGAGGAACACCGGUGGCGAACGCAGAUCUCUGGGCCGAUACUGACGCUGAAGAGCGAAAGCGUGGGGAGCGAACAAGAUUAGAUACCCUGGUAGUCCACGCCGUAAACGGUGGGCACUAUGUGUGGGCGACAUUCCACGUCGUCCGUGCCGCAUCUAACGCAUUAAGUGCCCCGCCUGGAGAGUACGGCCGCAAGGCUAACACUCAAAGGAAUUGACGGGGGCCCGCACAAGCGGCAGAACAUGUGGCUUAAUUCGACGCAACGCGAAGAACCUUACCAAGGCUUGACAUACACCGGAAACGUCCAGAGAUGGGCCCCCCCUUGUGGUCGGUGUACAGGGGGGGCAAGGCUCUCCCCCCCCCCUGUCGCGAAAUUUUGUGUUAAUCCCCCAAAAACGGAACCUUUUUCCCUUUUUCAACAAGCCCUUUUGGUUUGGGGAAUACCGGAAAACCCCC